rnacentral:lncRNA from 1 species
CCAUGGAUUAGUCGGGGACCAGGCCGCACAGCCUCGGCAAAGCGCCAACACCGCAUGGAGGUACUGGUUCGUCCUUUAGUCGCUGUCAUCGGUUUGCCGACAAGGACUCGGCAUGCCGUCGCUCGGGCUCGGUGCUCGCGCAGCGGCUCGCCCGCUUGCCGAAGCCGCCCCUAGGUGCUCGCGCAGCGGCUCGCCGGCUUGCCGAUGCCGCUCAUACAGUGCGACGACUGCACAGAGAUUGUGCUGCGGCUAACAUCUAGCACGCGGCAACACCUCAGAUGGGUAUUCUUCAAAUGCAAUAACGACGGGUAUGUUCUUGUUUCCGUUCGGCUUUGUGAACUUAUUUGGUUCAAUUUCGGUAGCUUAUUGAGA